UGGGGAAUUUUGGACAAUGGGCGCAAGCCUGAUCCAGCCAUGCCGCGUGAGUGAAGAAGGCCUUCGGGUUGUAAAGCUCUUUUGUCAGGGAGCAAAGCCUUAUCGAUAAUACCGGUAAGGGAUGAGAGUACCUGAAGAAUAAGCACCGGCUAACUACGUGCCAGCAGCCGCGGUAAUACGUAGGGUGCGAGCGUUAAUCGGAAUUACUGGGCGUAAAGCGUGCGCAGGUGGUUUUGUAAGCCAGAUGUGAAAUCCCCGGGCUCAACCUGGGAAUGGCAUUUGGGACUGCAAGGCUAGAGUGUGGCAGAGGGGGGUGGAAUUCCGCGUGUAGCAGUGAAAUGCGUAGAGAUGCGGAGGAACACCGAUGGCGAAGGCAGCCCCCUGGGUUGACACUGACACUCAUGCACGAAAGCGUGGGGAGCAAACAGGAUUAGAUACCCCGGUAGUCC
rnacentral:rRNA from 1 species